AGCAGCGUGCCCUGACGGAAAGCUGAGGGACGGGCAGAUGGCGUCCUUCUCCCCAGAGCGCUCCAGGCGCCCGGGCCUCAGGCUGGCGCCCAGGGGACAAGCUGAGGGCUGCAUCCCGCCCGCCGAGUCCAGAGCUAUCCCCACAGCUGCCCACCCCCUGGGCCCAGGCUUUGAGGCACAGGGAAGCUUUCCCCCAUGCCCGUUUCAGUGGCCUGAUGGCAGCGGCGUCUCCAUGGGUCAUGUCUACCGAGGCCUCAGCACCUGGAGGAUAGGAGCCUGCCCGUCAGGAGGAGCCGGAGGUCAGGGUUGAGUUGCAAGGACAUCCACAUCUUUACUUGGGGUCCACCUUGGUGGUUGAGGCUGUCCUCAAAGAAGGGCCGUUGUCUGAGCUGGGAACAAAUCUGACGGUACUUGCUGCAGCGUGGAUUCCCAUGGAUCCUGUGCAGAUGAUUCUGUCCAGUUUCAAUGAAAAGCCUGAGGGCCAGAGCACUGACUCGAGAGCACAGGCGCAGUAAUUGUGUUGCAGCGGCUUAGUUGCCCCAUGGCAUGUGGAAUCUUCCUGGAUCAGGGAUCGAGCCAGUGUCCCCUGUAUUGGCAGGCAAAUUCUUUAACAUUGAGCCACCAGGGAAGCCCUGUGCCCUUUCUUAUCAGAACAGAAGAUAACAUUUGUCUUGGAGAUCAUGACCUGUCCAUGACCUGACUUGAACAAGGAAGAAUCUGACUCCAAAAGAUGUUUUCAACAACUUCCUGCAUGCCUCCCUCACCUUUCCUGGAAAAGAGCUUUGCUGAAAGUUUUUGAGGAGAUUGGGGUUUUAAGGCGUGAGCCACCCGUCACGUUACAAGACUCUGUAAUAAACCUUUCUCUGCUCCAAACUCUGACAUUUUGGUAUUGUACUCGUAUACCCUGACUUCAUCCCAUGUGAUCAUUUUACCAUAAUGGUG